rnacentral:tRNA from 3 species
GAUGGUUUAAUUCCUUCCCUUACUA